rnacentral:rRNA from 1 species
CAGUAGCCGCGGUAAUACGAACCGUGCGAACGUUAUUCGGAAUCACUGGGCUUAAAGCGCGUGUAGGCGGGCCGCCACGUCGGCUGCUGAAAUCCCCCGGCUCAACCGGGGAACGGGCACCGAUACGAGCGGCCUGGAGGGGGGUAGGGGGGACUGGAACUUCCGGUGGAGCGGUGAAAUGCGUUGAGAUCGGAAGGAACGCCCGUGACGAAAGCGAGUCCCUGGACCCUUUCUGACGCUGAGACGCGAAAGCCAGGGGAGCGAACGGGAUUAGAUACCCCGGUAGUCCCUGUCUCUUAUA